rnacentral:misc_RNA from 1 species
GCGAAAUGCGAUAAGUAAUGUGAAUUGCAGAAUUCAGUGAAUCAUCGAAUCUUUGAACGCACCUUGCGCUCCUUGGUAUUCCUUGGAGCAUGCCUGUUUGAGUAUCAUGAAAUCUUCAAAGUAAAUCUUUUGUUAACUCAAUUGGUUUCUACUUUGGUAUUGGAGGUCUUUGCAGCUUCACACCUGCUCCUCUUUGUUCAUUAGCUGGAUCUCAGUGUUAUGCUUGGUUCCACUCGGCGUGAUAAGUUAUCUAUCGCUGAGGACACUGUACAAGGUGGCCAAGGUAAAUGCAGAUGAACCGCUUCUAAUAGUCCAUUGACUUGGACAAUACUUUUAUGAUCUGAUCUCAAAUCAGGUAGGACUACCCGCUGAACUUAA